CAAGAACAUUUGUUAUUUCUACCCAGGCGGAAAGCAAACAGCAGCAAGAGCAGCAGAAGAUUCAAUGUCGGAACAGCCUACAAACUGCAGGCUGUAACCUCGACGGUAUUGAUUGAGUGCACUUGUCCAUCUUCAUUUUUAACGGGCACAUGUCAAGAAAGGAGUGGCCAUUCCAGGAGAACUAGGUGGAACCUGCAUAGACUUUUCUGAUGUGGCCUUAGAAGCCCUGAAGCCUCGUGUCCACUGAACCCUGCUGGCCAAGCAAAAUAAAAUGCGUGAAGAACUGUGGAGAUGGCCAGGCAAAGGAGGAUCUUCUUGGCUUCAUUUGUACCAGAGCACUUUAUCAAGACUGAAUAUAAUUUUGCUGGCCUAUUUAUGAGCUAAAAAUAGACAUUAUUUUGUUUGGCCCAUUUUCCAUCUUAGGCUCUCCUGGGAGCCCAGGUGAACUGUGGCUCAUUUUUAACUCCCUCCCAUCAUUGCGUAUUUUCCGUCGACCCAGGCUGCAUGGAAGUGAAAGUCACUUUGUACUGCCAGUCGCACUGGAGCGCGCUGAAUCUCCCAGAAGCAGGGAAAGAAAAAGGCCCGUGGAGAGGACUUUCCAUUCUUAGCGAAACCUAGCUGCUGUGGCCUGAGGGGCUAAUCAAGCAUUAUAAACACUGAUUAAAUAAGUUUGGAUGGGAGCAAAUUCUGCAUCUUCCGCCGCUGACUCGUGGGUCCUGAGGGGACUGCCCCUCCUACCCAGAUCUUGCUGUGGGUAGAAUUUAUGAAACUGUAAUCCAGCGACCUUCGUGUGGUCUCCAGACAAUCUCCUCCUGAGCUUAGAACUUUAGAGCUGAAUGUUACCUUAUAGAUGAUCUAGAUCCUUGCUACUGAAAACGUAACGCGCGGAACAGCAGACGGCCCUCAUCAGGAAUCUCGUCAGACAUGUAGAAUUCCCACCCCAGCCCUACGGAAUCAGAUCACGCCUUAAACGAGAUUUCCAGGUGGUUCACAUGCGCAUUGAAGUUCAAGAAGCAAUGGUGUGGAUCAAGACCCUUGUUUUAUAGGUUAGGAUGCUGUGGCCCCGAUCUGGGCAGUUAUUAGCUAGCAUCCCACAACAACCGUCAGAGCCUGCCAUUCUCCUUUCUCCAGGAUGCUGCGGUCCCUCCAUAUGACACGGCUUCUCUGGACUCUUGAAUGAAGAGUUAUUUGUAUAGUAUUUGCGUUCGUUAGUGGGAAAGGAAAUAGCACCUUGUUCACAUAAACAUAACCUGUGUCUGUGUUUCCAUGAUCUCUGAUAUAACUUGUUGAAAACGCCUAGCACAGUGCCUGUCUAUGUGGUAGGUGCCCAACUGACACUGUGAUCGUAUUGAUAAAAUUAUUAAUACUAAUAGUUGUUAUUGUCAUUAAUUUUGUGCUUGCAGUAAAAGUAACAGAAAAUAGUGAAAAUUUUCCUUGGAGGUUGC
rnacentral:lncRNA from 1 species